rnacentral:lncRNA from 1 species
CUGAAUUCUGGUGUAUGAGAUCUAUUAAAGGAUGGUACACAUAAAAAAGUCAUGAGACAUUUCUGUUUUGUAAUAAAUAAGGCAGUGGCCAAUUAUUACUCAUUAGUAGCUUUUUUGAGAUAAGCUAUCAAGUCUGCCCUUUCUUCCUCUUUUUUUUUUUUUUUGUUUUUUUUUUUUUGAGAUGGGGUCUCCCUCUGUCGCCCAGGCUGGAGUGCAGUG